rnacentral:tRNA from 1 species
UGGUAAUUAGUUUAAAAAAAAAAUUAAUGAUUUCGACUCAUUAGAUUAUGAUAUUAUCAUAAUUACCAA